rnacentral:tRNA from 1 species
GUUUUUAUAGUUGAGUAACAACGCUGGUUUUUCGAAUCAGAGGUCUAAGAUUAACUUAGUAGAAACU